rnacentral:rRNA from 1 species
GGCGGACGGGUGAGUAACGCGUAAAGAACUUGCCCUUUAGACUGGGAUAAACAGAGGGAAACUUCUGAUAAUACUGGAUAAGUUAGUAUAUCGCAUGAUAUGCAAAUGAAAGCUACGGCACUAAAGGAGAGCUUUGCGUCCUAUUAGCUAGUUGGUAAGGUAAGAGCUUACCAAGGCGAUGAUAGGUAGCCGGCCUGAGAGGGUGGACGGCCACAAGGGGACUGAGAUACGGCCCUUACUCCUACGGGAGGCAGCAGUC